rnacentral:rRNA from 1 species
CCUACGGGAGGCAGCAGUGGGGAAUUUUGGACAAUGGGCGAAAGCCUGAUCCAGCAAUGCCGCGUGCAGGAUGAAGGCCUUCGGGUUGUAAACUGCUUUUGUACGGAACGAAAAGGUCUGCCCUAAUACGGCGGGCCCAUGACGGUACCGUAAGAAUAAGCACCGGCUAACUACGUGCCAGCAGCCGCGGUAAU